ACAAGCUUUCGGGAGAACCUCCCUUUCUCAAGUCAGAAAUGCUUCAGACUUGAGAAAGGGAGGUUCUCCCGAAAGCUUG
rnacentral:miRNA from 1 species